AAAAAGGUGACUCCAUUUAGUUUGUUUCCUUUAUUUGGUCAUUUAUCAAAGUAGCUCUGGUACCUUUUUUUCUCUGCAAAAAUUUAGGAAAACAGGAUCUGGGAAUGGGAAUGUGUGCUGUUUCAUAUUGAUAGUGCAUUGCCUGGCUGGUUUGAUUAAAUUUCUUAAUGGAAGUGCACGAUUACUUUCUUUAUAAUAAUAUAUCCUUAGGGACACGUUUGUUCUUUUGGAGGUUGAUUUUCAAAGCCUGUACUGUGUCCUUGCUCUGGUAUGCAGCAUGUCCUCCAGCAGCCAUCUGAAGAGGAGAGAAUUUCUUCUGCCACACUGUGUGCUGUAUUUCACAACAGGCUCCAUCCACUAAAACCAAGGAAUAUCAUCAUUGGACCAAGACUGCAAAGGUAUCAGCAUACAUAUUUACAAGCUUUUGCAUUAAUAAAUCUUUUGUAGACCUGAAGACCCUGUAUAGCCUUGGACAGAGUUAAGGACUUCUGUUAAACACACUGUCUUCUGAGGACCUUAAAGCACAAUGUGCUACCCAAGAUUUUUCACUCCCAGUGCUCACUGGAUCUCAUUUGCAAGGGAGGAAAAACCUAAGUGCAGAAAGACCAAGUCUGGAGCAAGAAACAGUGGUGUUCUUAUGGGGAAAAUUUUAUGGGGGACAAUUAAAACCUAAUGCAUGAGCUAUUGUUCCCUAGAGGAAAAAUAAGAGGAUAAAGCAGACCAGAUCUGUCAGAGAAAAUUUCUAUUUCAACAGCCACCUCUGGGACUGUGCUAGCGAUCACGUACACCAGAAAGGUGAUGUGUUUCAUGCUGAGCUUCCAGGUAUUUGUUUUUAUAAUGCAACAUCCUGAAAGAUGAGCAGGCUAGAACAAGGUAAGAAGAAGAGGAGACAGAAUGACAGUGUUCAUUCUGAUCCCCCUCACCUUGUUCAGCGUGUUUUGCCUGCCUGGAUCAAGUAUCUCUAAUGCAUAGGUUCCCUUUGCUCUGGUGCUCCGUGGCACGGGCAGGCACCAAGGUCCAUGCCACCACUGGGGUGGAAGCUGCAGGCUGUACCGAGAUGGAGUCAGGGCCCUUCCCAGAGAAAGUAUUAUUCUUGCUGCUAGGAACCUCAGGGUUUAGAAGCAACAAAUGUUAACACUGGGGCAGAACAUGGUUAGCUGUGAGGGAUGAGACACCAUAGUGGCAAUGUUGGACUGUGAAAGCCCCUGAGAGCCGCAGAAGAGACCAAGGCUUAGGCAGGAAGGAUGUGGCAGCCUCCCUGGGUCACAUUAGUGAGACUGAGAGGGAAAAGGUGAAGCUUUGUACUUCAGCUGCCCCAACAGACAUUGAAAAAUAGGGAAGGAAAGAAGGCUGCCCCACUUUCACCUGUGGGAAGUCUCCAGUGAGCUGGACUCUGUUAGGACGUCAUUCCUGGAGAACACAAGGGACAAAGAGUCCUUGUCACCCUGUUCUCUCCAAGGUGUCCAGCAGCAAGGGCUGGAGGGUUUCUGUGCUUCCUGCAUUGCUGUCAGUACUUCACUUCUUCCUUCUCUGCCAUGGGGUUAAGGCUUGUCACACCAUCACACCACUUCUGCUCUUCUGCAGGUCAGAAGAGAAGCAAUCAGAACAGCAGGACUAGUCUUUUCACCCAGGUGAACUUGCAAACUGCAAGAAACUGAUAUAUUACAGGGUACUUUGCCCAGGGGACAUUUUGCUCUUUAUUUCAUUUCAACCAAAUUAGAUUUUUAACCUAGAGAUACACAGAUUUCUGUCUCUAAAAUCCCUUUAAAAGAAAGUGGGCAUUUGCAGGCAUGUUUGAGGUGUGAAAGAAGGUGGCUUCAUUUUGCUUAACAGAUGCAUGUUUCUUUGUAGGCUGUGGGUUUGCUACAGAGACACUGAAAGCUGUGGGGUCACAUAGCGACUGUAUAUUUAUGAAGGCUUGUGAGAGCUGCUGAGAUUAAAGUCUCAACAGUAUUCAGUGUGCUGGUCAACGUGCUGAUCUCCAUGUGUCCAGCUUUGUUUUGUACUACUUGUCAAAUGGGAAACCAGGAUUUUGCAAUAAUUAUGACUGUUAUUCAGGGAAUUCGUUAGAAAUUAAAGGUCAUCUAGAAAACCAAAGCAAAACAAAAAAAAAACAGCCUCAAAAAGAGAAGACAGGGAUGAAAAUAUCAAGCACUAGGAAGUUGAAAAAGCAUAGCUAAUCCUUAAUAUUCUCCACAGAAAAUUGACUCGGGGGUUACAGUGUAUUUGGUGACUUUACUGGAUCUUACCGCCUUGUUCCCAGCACUGCAAACAAAUGCAAAUCGCUCUGGGAACAAGUAACUGUCAGAGGUUCAAUUCCUUUCAUUCCCUUUCUCUUUCAAACCCCGAUACUUGCUUUGCAGAGUUUAUUAUCGGCACCUAUGCCAGAGACUGGAGAGAGUGUUGCAGGAGGAGAACUACAGAUAUAUUUUAGAUAAAACAAUGUCUCUUUCUUAGUAUUCAGUGACUUGGAGCAACUUCACUGUGGUAUGGCAGGGUUUGUAAGUGAAAUGGAGCCAGUAACCCUUGAAAAGUCACCUGAACAACCCAUUUAACUUCUGAGCUGCUCUGUAAUCAUCUCUGGGGCUGUCCAGCACCCCUUAAAGAUCUGUUGUCAGUUCAUGGAAGGGAAAACAGUCAGUAUAGAUGCUUGUGAUAUCUACUGUGGAAGACCGGCAUUCAAUUAAAAGAAGGGUAGAACAACCCAUCUCCAUUUA